GACGAACGCUGGCGGCGUGCUUAAUGAAUGCGAGUCGAGCGAGAACCAGAUGAGUGCUUGCACAAGUCUGGGGAGAGCGGCAAACGGGUGAGUAACACGUGGGUAACCUGCCCUGCAGACGGGCAUAACAGUUGGAAACGACUGCUAAUUCCCGAUGGUCUGUGGGAGCGUAAGCUUCCAUAGUAAAGGUUUAUUCCGCUGCAGGAUGGGCCCGCGGGCCAUUAGCUUGUUGGUAGGGUAACGGCCUACCAAGGCGACGAUGGCUAGCCGGUCUGAGAGGAUGGUCGGCCACACUGGGACUGAGACAUGGCCCAGACUCCUCCGGGAGUUAGCAUCAGGGAAUCUUGCGCAAUGGGCGAAAGCCUGACGCAGCGACGCCGCGUGAGGGAUGAAGGUCUGCGGAUCGUAAACCUCUGUAAGCAGGGACGAAUGCCCGAUUCUGUCGGGAGUGACGGUACCUGCAGAGUAAGCUCCGGCUAACUACGUG
rnacentral:rRNA from 1 species